rnacentral:rRNA from 1 species
GAUGAACGCUGGCGGCGUGCCUAAUACAUGCCAGUCGAGCGAACAGACGAGGAGCUUGCUCCUCUGACGUUAGCGGCGGACGGGUGAGUAACACGUGGAUAACCUACCUAUAAGACUGGGAUAACUUCGGGAAACCGGAGCUAAUACCGGAUAAUAUAUUGAACCGCAUGGUUCAAUAGUGAAAGACGGUUUUGCUGUCACUUAUAGAUGGAUCCGCGCCGCAUUAGCUAGUUGGUAAGGUAACGGCUUACCAAGGCAACGAUGCGUAGCCGACCUGAGAGGGUGAUCGGCCACACUGGAACUGAGACACGGUCCAGACUCCUACGGGAGGCAGCAGUAGGGAAUCUUCCGCAAUGGGCGAAAGCCUGACGGAGCAACGCCGCGUGAGUGAUGAAGGUCUGCGGAUCGUAAAACUCUGUUAUUAGGGAAGAACAAAUGUGUAAGUAACUAUGCACGUCUUGACGGUACCUAAUCAGAAAGCCACGGCUAACUACGU